rnacentral:rRNA from 1 species
GACGAACGCUGGCGGCGUGCUUAACACAUGCAAGUCGUACGGUAAGGCCCUUUCGGGGGUCCACGAGUGGCGAACGGGUGAGUAACACGUGAGUAACCUGCCCACAACUUUGGGAUAACGCUAGGAAACUGGUGCUAAUACUGGAUAUGUGCUCCUGCUGCAUGGUGGGGGUUGGAAAGCUCCGGCGGUUGUGGAUGGACUCGCGGCCUAUCAGCUUGUUGGUGGGGUAGUGGCCUACCAAGGCGGCGACGGGUAGCCGGCCUGAGAGGGUGACCGGCCACAUUGGGACUGAGAUACGGCCCAGACUCCUACGGGAGGCAGCAGUGGGGAAUAUUGCACAAUGGGCGCAAGCCUGAUGCAGCAACGCCGCGUGCGGGAUAACGGCCUUCGGGUUGGAAACCGCUUUCAGCAGGGACGAAGCUUUUUGUGACGGUACCUGCAGAAGAAGCACCGGCUAACUACGUG